rnacentral:lncRNA from 1 species
CCUACUGGUCCAGUAACCUGAGGUUCAAUGAGGCAGAGGCUACCAGGUAGAGAGUUUCUUACCUGUGCCUGUGUGCGGACCAGGACUACAGUAGGCCAAGAUUAACUGAAAUGUGUGUUUUCUGAGCAUGACCAGUUGAAGACGUCAGAGAUGUUAUGGGAAGCAUGUAGCCAGGCUGUAACUAAAAUUUUGCCUUGUAUAAUGAAGAAGAUGUAAAACCCACCUGUGAAUAAUAGAGGAAUGUCGUUUACCAAGGGCAUUGUUACCAUUUUCUAGAUGAGGAAACCAAGGCUCAGAGUGGCUAACUGACUUACGUGGGCGUGAGACAAAAUGGGGAUUGAACAUCGGAGCUUCUGUUUGCUAAGCUACUCUGCCAGAGCAACAUUCUACUGUAUUCAAAUCAGCCAUACUGAAGUUGAUGCACCUGUUAGUGUCUGUUUCUUACGAACCCUGAAUGGGAUGCUGUUGGAGAGACAACAUGUAAUCAGCUAGAAAAUAGAAUUCAAAGUGGUAACAAGAACUAUAAGGUAUCUAAAGUUAACUUAAUCAGGAAAACACAAAUAUUUUAUGUGGGAAUAUUAAGACUGUAAAAAGGACGUAAAUGAUGAUCUUCAUAAAUAGACACUUCAUGCUUCUGGUUGGGAUGACAAUAUUGUGAAAAUACCACAUACUUCCUAGAUUAACCUAUAAAUUUAAAUUAAUCUAUACAUAUUAUCCCCACGAAAACACUAGUUGUAUUUUCCGUGUACCAGGAAGAUUCAUUGUUCACAAAUAGUCAAGUCAAAUUUAAGAAGAAUAAAGAGUGUGUGUGAGGGUGAGUCUUGCUUGCU